AUUAGACGAAUCAUCUGGAAAGAUGAAUCAAAGAAGGUAAUAAUCCUGUAGUCGAAAAUGUUGUCUCUCUUGAGUGGAUCCUGAGUACGACGGAGCACGUGAAAUUCCGUCGGAAUCUGGGAGGACCAUCUCCUAAGGCUAAAUACUCUCUAGUGACCGAUAGUGAACCAGUACCGUGAGGGAAAGGUGAAAAGCACCCCGGAAGGGGAGUGAAAUAGAACCUGAAACCGUGUGCUUACAAGUAGUCAGAGCCCGUUAAUGGGUGAUGGCGUGCCUUUUGUAGAAUGAACCGGCGAGUUACGAUUUGAUGCAAGGUUAAGCAGUAAAUGUGGAGCCGUAGCGAAAGCGAGUCUGAAUAGGGCGUUUAGUAUUUGGUCGUAGACCCGAAACCAGGUGAUCUACCCUUGGUCAGGUUGAAGUUCAGGUAACACUGAAUGGAGGACCGAACCGACUUACGUUGAAAAGUGAGCGGAUGAACUGAGGGUAGCGGAGAAAUUCCAAUCGAACCUGGAGAUAGCUGGUUCUCUCCGAAAUAGCUUUAGGGCUAGCCUCAAGUGAUGAUUAUUGGAGGUAGAGCACUGUUUGGACGAGGGGCCCCUCUCGGGUUACCGAAUUCAGACAAACUCCGAAUGCCAAUUAAUUUAACUUGGGAGUCAGAACAUGGGUGAUAAGGUCCGUGUUCGAAAGGGAAACAGCCCAGACCACCAGCUAAGGUCCCAAAAUAUAUGUUAAGUGGAAAAGGAUGUGGCGUUGCCCAGACAACUAGGAUGUUGGCUUAGAAGCAGCCAUCAUUUAAAGAGUGCGUAAUAGCUCACUAGUCGAGUGACACUGCGCCGAAAAUGUACCGGGGCUAAACAUAUUACCGAAGCUGUGGAUUGUCCUUUGGACAAUGGUAGGAGAGCGUUCUAAGGGCGUUGAAGCAUGAUCGUAAGGACAUGUGGAGCGCUUAGAAGUGAGAA
rnacentral:rRNA from 1 species